rnacentral:rRNA from 1 species
GUGCCAGCAGCCGCGGUAAUACAGGGGGGGCAAGCGUUGUUCGGAAUUACUGGGCGUAAAGGGCUUGUAGGUGGCCAACUAAGUCAAACGUGAAAUCCCUCAGCUUAACUGGGGAACUGCGUCUGAUACUGGAUGGCUUGAGUUUGGGAGAGGGACGCGGAAUUCCAGGUGUAGCGGUGAAAUGCGUAGAUAUCUGGAGGAACACCGGUGGCGAAGGCGGCGUCCUGGACCAAUACUGACACUGAAAAGCGAAAGCCAGGGGAGCAAACGGGAUUAGAAACCCCUGUAGUCC